GAUGAAGAACGCAGCGAAAUGCGAUACGUAAUGUGAAUUGCAGAAUUCAGUGAAUCAUCGAGUCUUUGAACGCACAUUGCGCCCCCUGGUAUUCCGGGGGGCAUGCCUGUCCGAGCGUCAUUACAACCCUCAAGCUCAGCUUGGUGUUGGGCCCCGCCGCCCCGGCGGGCCCUAAAGUCAGUGGCGGUGCCGUCCGGCUCCGAGCGUAGUAAUUCUUCUCGCUCUGGAGGCCCGGUCGUGUGCUCGCCAGCAACCCCCAAUUUUUUUCAGGUUGACCUCGGAUCAGGUAGGGAUACCCGCUGAACUAAAGCAUAUCAAUAAGCGGAGGA
rnacentral:misc_RNA from 1 species